UACAGAGGGGGCAAGCGUUGUUCGGAAUUACUGGGCGUAAAGGGCGCGUAGGCGGCCUGUUAAGUCGAACGUGAAAUCCCUGGGCUCAACCCAGGAACUGCGUCCGAUACUGGCAGGCUUGAAUCCGGGAGAGGGAUGCGGAAUUCCAGGUGUAGCGGUGAAAUGCGUAGAUAUCAGGAGGAACACCGGUGGCGAAGGCGGGUCUCUGGGCCGAUACUGACGCUGAGGAGCGAAAGCGUGGGGAGCGAACAGG
rnacentral:rRNA from 1 species